UACAGAGGUCCCAAGCGUUGUUCGGAUUCAUUGGGCGUAAAGGGUGCGUAGGCGGCGCGGUAAGUCGGGUGUGAAAUCUCGGGGCUUAACUCCGAAACUGCAUUCGAUACUGCCGUGCUUGAGGACUGGAGAGGAGACUGGAAUUUACGGUGUAGCGGUGAAAUGCGUAGAUAUCGUAAGGAAGACCAGUGGCGAAGGCGGGUCUCUGGACAGUUCCUGACGCUGGAGCACGAAGGCCAGGGGGAGCAAACGGG
rnacentral:rRNA from 1 species